GAUGAACGCUGGCGGCGUGCCUAAUACAUGCAAGUCGAGCGAACAGACGAGGAGCUUGCUCCUCUGACGUUAGCGGCGGACGGGUGAGUAACACGUGGAUAACCUACCUAUAAGACUGGGAUAACUUCGGGAAACCGGAGCUAAUACCGGAUAAUAUAUUGAACCGCAUGGUUCAAUAGUGAAAGACGGUUUUGCUGUCACUUAUAGAUGGAUCCGCGUCGCAUUAGCGAGUUGGUAAGGUAACGGCUUACCAAGGCAACGAUGCGUAGCCGAUCUGAGAGGAUGAUCAGCCACACUGCAACUGAGACACGGGCCAGACUCCUACGGGAGGCAGCAGUGGGGAAUAUUGGACAAUGGGCGCAAGCCUGAUCCAGCCAUACCGCGUGAGUGAAGAAGGCCUUCGGGUUGUAAAGCCCUUUUGUUGGGAAAGAAAAGCAGCAGGUUAAUACCCCGCUGUUCUGACGGUACCCAAAGAAUAAGCACCGGCUAACUUCGUG
rnacentral:rRNA from 1 species